UACGGAGGGGGCUAGCGUUGUUCGGAAUGACUGGGCGUAAAGCGCGCGUAGGCGGAUCAGAAAGUUGGGGGUGAAAUCCCGGGGCUCAACCUCGGAAUUGCCUUCAAAACUCCUGGUCUUGAGUUCGAGAGAGGUGAGUGGAAUUCCGAGUGUAGAGGUGAAAUUCGUAGAUAUUCGGAGGAACACCAGUGGCGAAGGCGGCUCACUGGCUCAUUACUGACGCUGAGGCUCGAAAGCGUGGGGAGCAAACAGG
rnacentral:rRNA from 1 species